GGGGUUGUGGCUCAGUGGUACAGUGCUCGCCUAGCAUGCGUGAGGUGCUGGGUUCAAUCCUCAGCACCACA
rnacentral:tRNA from 1 species